rnacentral:rRNA from 1 species
UACGUAGGAUGCAAGCGUUGUCCGGAUUUACUGGGCGUAAAGCGCGCGCAGGCGGCAAGGUAAGUAAGGUGUGAAAUAUCCCGGCUCAACCGGGAGGGUGCACUUUAGACUGCUUUGCUUGAGGUCGGUAGAGGGGGGUGGAAUUGCUGGUGUAGCGGUGAAAUGCGUAGAGAUCAGCAGGAACACCCGUGGCGAAGGCGGCCCCCUGGGCCGUACCUGACGUUGAGGCGCGAAAGCCAGGGGAGCGAACGGG